rnacentral:rRNA from 1 species
CAGCCGCCGCGGGAAAACGAAGGGGGCUAGCGUUGCUCGGAAUUACUGGGCGUAAAGCGCACGUAGGCGGAUAUUUAAGUCAGGGGUGAAAUCCCGCAGCUCAACUGCGGAACUGCCUUUGAUACUGGGUAUCUUGAGUAUGGAAGAGGUUAGUGGAAUUGCGAGUGUAGAGGUGAAAUUCGUAGAUAUUCGCAGGAACACCAGUGGCGAAGGCGGCUAACUGGUCCAUAACUGACGCUGAGGUGCGAAAGCGUGGGGAGCAAACAGGAUUAGAUACCCCCGUAGUCCCUGUCUCUUAUAC